GGGGAUAUAGCUCAGUUGGUAGAGUGCGUGCCUCAAAUGCACAAGGCCCUGGGUUCGAUUUCCUCCCUGCCCCC
rnacentral:tRNA from 1 species